rnacentral:rRNA from 1 species
GUACACUCCUGCGGGAGGCAGCAGUGGGGAAUUUUGGACAAUGGGCGAAAGCCUGAUCCAGCAAUGCCGCGUGAGUGAAGAAGGCCUUCGGGUUGUAAAGCUCUUUUGUCAGGGAAGAAACGGUGAGAGCUAAUAUCUCUUGCUAAUGACGGUACCUGAAGAAUAAGCACCGGCUAACUACGUGCCAGCAGCCGCGGUAAUACGUAGGGUGCAAGCGUUAAUCGGAAUUACUGGGCGUAAAGCGUGCGCAGGCGGUUUUGUAAGUCUGAUGUGAAAUCCCCGGGCUCAACCUGGGAAUUGCAUUGGAGACUGCAAGGCUAGAAUCUGGCAGAGGGGGGUAGAAUUCCACGUGUAGCAGUGAAAUGCGUAGAUAUGUGGAGGAACACCGAUGGCGAAGGCAGCCCCCUGGGUCAAGAUUGACGCUCAUGCACGAAAGCGUGGGGAGCAAACAGGAUUAGAAACCCGGGUAGUCCCAUGA